rnacentral:rRNA from 1 species
UACAGAGGUCCCAAGCGUUGUUCGGAUUCACUGGGCGUAAAGGGUGCGUAGGUGGUCGGGUAAGUUUAAGGUGAAAGCUCCGGGCUCAACCCGGAAAUGGCCUUGAAUACUAUCCGGCUCGAGGGUUGGAGGGGGGACUGGAAUUCUCGGCGUAGCAGUGAAAUGCGUAGAUAUCGAGAGGAACACCAGUGGCGAAGGCGAGUCCCUGGACAACACCUGACACUGAGGCACGAAAGCUAGGGGAGCAAACGGG